GUAGCGGCGAGCGAACGCGGAUUAGCCCAAACCAAUAAAGUUUUCUUUAUUGGGGUUGCGGACAUAUCAUAACGAAGAGGUAUCGUAAUUGAAGAGGUUUGGAAAGACCCACCACAGAAGGUAAUAGUCCUGUAUGUUAAACGAGAAGACUUCAGAUAUGAUCCAGAGUACCACGGGACACGUGAAACCCUGUGGGAAGCAGGAGGGACCACCCUCCAAGGCUAAAUACUACCUAGUGACCGAUAGCGUAUAGUACCGUGAGGGAAAGGUGAAAAGAACCCCGGGAGGGGAGUGAAAUAGAACCUGAACCCCUGCACUUACAAGCUGUGGAAGCACAUUUCUUGUGUGACCGCGUACUUUUUGUAGAACGGGCCAACGAGUUACGUUAAGUAGCAAGGUUAAGCACUUAAGGUGUGGAGCCGUAGCGAAAGCGAGU
rnacentral:rRNA from 1 species